CUACAUCAUGGGUUGUAGCAGAUGUUCUCAACGUUUCUAUUGGAACUUCUUUAUAUUCCCUUGAAAGAGGAGCCCCAGGGCCUCAUCCCUGUGGUAGCUACCAUGCUCUGAUAUAAGAUGUUGUUCAUCAGGGAGCUUUGGCAAGAGAGUUGGCCAGAUGAACAAGUUCAUCUCCAUUGUGGAAAAACAACUUGAAGCUCAUCUCUGUUGAAGGCCAGGUUUGAGGAAUAUGAAGAACAAGCUGGAGAAGAUGAAGAACAUAAUUCCAUUUGAUCAGAUGAUCAUUGAGGACCUGAAUGAAAUCCUCCCAGAAACCAAAUUAGACAAGAAGAAAUAUCCCUUUUGGCCUCACAAGCAAAUCAAAAAUCUAUAAACUUGAGUUGGGGAGAGAGCUCUGGCCUUGUAUUACAAACGCUGGACAUUAAAAAUAAUUAUAUGGUAAUAAAAAAAAAGCACCAUGUCCUUUAAUCUAGAAGUAGAAACUCUAG